rnacentral:lncRNA from 1 species
UUGGUUUUUGUCACAAUCUGAUUCAUUUCUGUCCCUUAAACAGGCUUGUUUCUCGCGUUGGAGACAUCAGGCUUACUAAAGACGCAGGAGUUGACGACCAGCCCUGGCCAACACGGUGAAACUCGGUCUCUACUAAAAAUACAAAAAUUAGUCAGGCAUGUUCCUGCACAGUGUGCUGCUUCACGAAAUGGACCUUCAUCCCAGAAUAAUCACUGAAGGAUUUGAAGUUGUGAAGGAAAAGGCCCUUCAGUUUUUGGAAGAAGUCAAAGCUGUAAUGGGCUCCAUUUUGGCCAUUAAAAGAAAA